rnacentral:misc_RNA from 1 species
CGGCAGCGUCAGAUGUGUAUAAGAGACAGGUGAGUCAUCGAAUCUUUGAACGCACCUUGCGCUAGCUGGAAUUCCGGCUAGCAUGCCUGUUUGAGUAUCAGUUUACCGCCUCACCUCAUGGUGGAUUUGGGCGUGGUGUCUUCACCUGCCUUAAAAAUAUGAGUGCUAAACCAAGUACAAACAGAGCCAGUCCUUCGGGAAUGUCUGAUUGCAACUAGUCCAAUCCUCUAAACAACUGAAUCUAUGAUCUCAAAUCAAGCAAGACAACCCGCUGAACUUAAGCAUAUCAAUAAGCGGAGG